GAGCUACUCCCUCCGUUCCGAAUUACUUGUCGCAGAAAUGGAUGUAUCUAGAACUAAAAUACAUCUAGAUACGUCCAUACCCGCGACAAGUAAUUCGGAACGGAGGGAGUAUUAU
rfam:Triticum urartu cultivar G1812 contig162799, whole genome shotgun sequence.